CAGGGCCACGCGUGCUCGGGAGCGAGGGCUGCUUGCGGGCAGCCUGAUCCCAUCGCCGUGUCCUGCCUAGGAAGCUCUACGGACGUGCUUUGGUGCCUGAUCUCAUUAAUGGGUGAGAGAGAGGCUUCUUCGCAGUUCCUGUCUCCUGGAGCAGAUUUCAGCCUUUGAAUUAAGCACCAGUUCACUCUCGGUGCUACAGGGGAUAAAGAGAAUAUUCCAGUCCCUGCAUCCAUCACAGCUGCUCUGCCAAGCAAAGUUAACAAGUAAACAGUAAUCGCCCACAAUUAUUGCCCAUUACAUGCUCUCUUCACCUGAGAUCACACAACAAAGCGUGAGCGUGGAGCCACGGGAGGAGCUGGGUGGCAAGGAGCUGUCAAGAUGAAAUAACAGCAAAAAGACCUGUCAAACGCUGCCUCUGUGAAAGACCUAAAUCCUCUCCUGAUGGCCCCUUGGUGCAGUGUAGAAGAGCUACUUCUGUGUAAUUAUAAAUUGUCUGCAGGGCUUAUCUGAGAGGUUCAGGGUUGACAUUACAAUAAUAGGGUGGGUGAGCUUUAUUUAAGGGAUAAUGUUCCUGGCGGUGGUGUAUACAUGGCAAUAAAUGAGUGUGGCGAAUGAUUAACGGCAGCAGGAAGCCUGCAUGGCCCCUACUGCGUGGCCAGGGGAGGAGAGCCGGGCAGGUCCUUGUGUGCAGGGCAGUCCUGUGGGUCCCCAUGCGUCAGCCCACGCAUGGCACAGGGCCCACGUGUGAACUGGGACUGUGUGUCACUCAGGGCUCUGUGCUGGGGGGCUGUGAUGGGUGCACGCCGGAGGUGCAUGCAGGAUGGGCCGGGCCGUAUCCAGAGUGGGGAGAGGCAGGAUUUGUGUCCCCUCACUCUGAACGUGGGCCAGUGCAGUGCCUCCAUGAAAGCUGUCUGCCCGGGCUCUUUUUAUAGCAGCAGAGAGGGAAGGGCAGUUUGACGGUGUGGUACACCUGACCUACUUUAUAUGCUUACCUUAGGGUGAAUGGAACUGUUCUCAGAAUUGCAUUUUCUCUCUAUCUUCUAUAUAGAGAAGAAAGUAAGCUCAGAUGUGGACCUGUAAGCCAGGAAGGGUUGAUCCCGCUGGAAAUACAUUGCUUCCUUCAGCCAGCGGGUUUUUUUUUGUUUUUUUUGUUUUUUUUAGCAUGCUCCUCUCAUUCUACUGCAUCUUAAGAAUGAAUUUGCUACAUUGUUUUCAUAGAAGUGUUAGUUAAAAAGAGAGUGCAGAAAGAGAGCUUUGCACCUGAGCCAUACCUGACGUCCUGCCAGGCGAGGCUCCUCCCCUGCUCCCAUCCUGCAGACGGGGGCAGUAAUGCUGGGGAUGGAGGGGCUGCUGUGAGUCCCGCUGCUUGCAGGGAAGCUGUGCACGGCAGUUGGUGUGCCUGUGAUGGUGGGCAUCAAGGGGCUGCCCACCAGCCCUUUGUUGGAGAGCCCCACGGCGUGAGUGCUGCGCGUCCUGGCACUGAAGCCAAGCCUGAAGUCUGGCACUUCGUGUUGGAGGAAGAAAAUGGACCGUGGAUGCACGGUGUCCGGCUCAAACGUGUCCAAAGCCGAAACGGGAGGCAGCUGUGAUGUUAUUGCAGCGGAACGUCGUGGGAGGGCAGCUCUGCUCAGGGCAGCAGCCCUGCUCUCUUCACGCCGGGUUGCAGCGAAUUGCAGGGCUGCAUUACUCUUCCAAGGGGAGGGAGCACAUCCCUGCUCCUGAGUGCAGGCAGCGCCCGGCCGGAUGGGUUUCCUGCAGGGGAGGCGGACUCCCCAACUGCCCCCGGUGAUGGGAAAGCAGUAGAAAGGCGACGUGAGCUCCGAUCCCGUUACCAAUCAAAGACACUGAUUGAGACUGGGGGAGCUGCCGGGCUGGUCCCACUCGGGAGAGUUAGUGGUGAUAUUAACUGGAGGAAAUUCUACAGAGUCGUGGUUGCCAUGAGAUUAAAUCUGGUGAAGCUGUUGGUAAUAACCAAGCUCCUGCCCGUCCCCCUGCCACAGGACAAACCGUGUACGAGAUUGUUCUCCCAUGGAGCUCAUGAAGAACAUCUGGAUGAGAGAGAAAACGAAGCCUGUCCAAAGAACACAGUGAACCAAGGGAGGGGAACUGCCUCUCCCCCGGAGCUGUUGAACGCUCCCAGUUCACAUUGGUGUCUUUUACAGCCCCUUUGGAUUUUGCUGCAUCACAUGAACGGUGCUUACACAGAUGGUAAAAAUAUGUUUUUCUGAAGGCAUAGUAAAUGUCUGUGAUAGACAUGAUACCAGGCUGUCAUCGGCACAAGUGUAUCUGUGCAUUGUUUCCCUGUUUUUCUGGGCUUCCGGACAAGUGCCACUACAACCACCAAUUUUCCUGUCUUUUUUUCCUUUGCUUGUACAAGAUUCUCAAUACAAACCCCUUCCUUCUCAGUGGGAACAGAAUGCACUGCUGGGCAGAGAAUUAAAGCAAACGUGGUUUUGGAUCCAUGUGGGUGAAAUAGGGAAAAUUUUUCUGUUAGAUGUCAAUCCAACCAGUGCCAGCUGAGCUCCCUGCCUUCCCCCUCCCCGCUCCUCCUUGGGGCCAUGGCUGUGGCCCCCGGCCCUGGGGGAGUGCAGCAGCACUCAGGACCUGCAGUGCAGGGUGAGACUGAGCCAGUGCUGGCUGUGUGACCCCGUGUGCCCGCCCGCAGCCCGAUGGAAGUGUUGGUGGCAUCCGCGUGGCAUUGGUGCACACUCUUCCAUGGGUGAGUUGUACCCAGUCCAUGGGGAUCAGUGCUUGCUGCCAUGCCUGUGAAUUCUGGAGCCCAGUGGGGCUGGCAGCGCUCCCCAGCAGGCAGCGGGGCAGCAGAGGUGUGAGGCAGCAGGAGAGGAUGAGGUGCCCGGGCUGACAUGGCCAUCCACUGGGAUGCAGGUGCAUUGGCAGAGCAGUUGGGAACCCCACGUGUUGCAUGGCUGCUUCUGUCUAGCGCUGUUAUGCCCUGCUAAGAGCACUAAAUUUGUUUGCAUAUCUGCAAGGGAACAAAAGAUCCUCCUUUAAAGUAAAAAUGCCAUUCACAAGUUCUGUACUACUUAUUCUGCUUGAACCUACUUUAAAAAAAG
ensembl:lncRNA